UACGUAGGCAGCGAGCGUUGUUCGGAGUUACUGGGCGUAAAGGGUGUGUAGGCGGUUGUUUAAGUUUGGUGUGAAAUCUCCCGCUCAACUGGGAGGUGCGCCGAAUACUGAAUGACUUGGAGUGCGGGAGAGGAAAGUGGAAUUCCUGGUGUAGCGGUGAAAUGCGUAGAUAUCAGGAGGAACACCGGUGGUGUAGACGGCUUUCUGGACCGUAACUGACGCUGAGACACGAAAGCGUGGGUAGCAAACAGG
rnacentral:rRNA from 1 species